rnacentral:lncRNA from 1 species
CCCUCCCCCGCCCACCGCCUCAGCAACCAACCUCCAGGGAGGGGAAAGGGGGCAGAAGUUUGAGUUAAUAACUAAUAGCUAAAGAUGUAAACAAUAAGCCUCCAUAAAACCCCAAAAGGACUGGACUGGUUUCUGAGAGCUUCCAGGUUGUUGAGCACGUGGAGGUUCUGGGAGGGUCCACACCCAGAGAAGGCAUGGAAGCUGACCCCUUCCCCAUACCUUGCUCUUUGCAUCUCUUCCAUUUGGCUGUUCCCGAGUUGUAUACUUUGUAAUAAGUGGGAUUUCCACCCAACAACAAUUCAGCCACACUGCUUCACACAUCUAGAAUCCAUCCAAAAUUGUAAAGGCUUUGUGGCACUACAGUGAAACAGGCAAGAACAUCUUCCAAACAUCCAGCACAAGAGCACACAGGAGGCCGGCAUAAUCACGAAUUGCAGCUGUCUGAAGGGCAGUCACAUAAAAGAGGAGAAGCUUCACCUUUGCUUCACAAGGCACAUCUUGAACCAGGGAUGGAAAUUACAGAGAGGCCAAAACCAGCUCGGUGUGAGCAGGACUGGUAACAGACUGGCCAAGCAACAGAAGGGGCUGCCCUGUGAAGAAGCAAGCUCUCUGUCAAUGGGAGGUGCAAGCUGAGCCUGCACUACCUUUUGUCACGGUUGCUAUGGAAAAGAUUAAGAGCCCGGUAUUAACUAUCUAUUGCUACAUAACAGAAUACCACACAACUUAAAAGCUUAAACAACACAUUUUUAUCAUGUCACAAUGUUUGGGGUCAGGGAUUCUGGAGUGGCUUAGCUGGGUGGGGUCUCCGGGUUGGUCUCUCGUGAGGCUCCAGUCUAGAUGUUGGCUGGGGAUGCAGUCGUCUGUCAGCUUGGCGAGGGCUGGAUGAUCUGCUUCCGGAAUGGCCCACUCACAUGGCUGUGGGAAACAGGCCUCAGCCCCUCUCCAUGUGGCUUCUCCAUAGGGCUGCUUGAGUGUCUGCAUGACAUGGCAGCUGGCUCCCUGAAGAGCACGUGAUCCGAAAGAGAGAGCAAGACAGAAGCGCAGUGUCUUCAACAGCAUAUCUUUGAAAGUCAUAUUCCACCGUUUUCACUACAUUCUAUUGAUAAGAUAGCCCUUCCUCCUCUGGGGGCCUGGGCAUCAGCAAGUCGGAUGGCAGUGGAAGGUGGAGAAAUGGAAUCCUGCUGGGGGCUCAGGAGGCCUGCCCCCUGAUGCUGCCGUGCACUGCAGAUGUCCUUGAUGAAGAGAAUGAAUGGAAGCUGUCUUUCUCAAUGGCAAAAGGGCAUACUGCUGUUAUUGUCAGUGAGGGGUCAGUAGUUUAAAUGAUGAAACUCUGGGGAUCAGCGUAAAGUAAACCAACAUACUGCAUGUAAAUUCCUCAUUCUUACUGCUGUGAGAACAAUUGUUAGGAGCCAAAAACUUCAGAGCUUUCAAAGAACUGUAAUGAGAUAGCACAAUGCAGGCAAAAAGCCAGUGUUAACGGAGCAAGAAACUUCCCAGUUCUGACAUUCACAGCAUGACCUAGAGCAUGCGGAUUCCCCUCUCUGAGUCACUGGUUUCUCACCUGCAAAAGAAAGCGGGGACAGGGAAGGAGGAAGAAGCUUCGAGAGGCUGGAACAGUUGAGGGAGCGCUGACACGGUAAAGGCCACUUUGCUCAUCAUCACCAGGCGUGCUGCCGAAAAUUUCCACUCUGUUUACUCCCAAGACCUUACUCCUACUAUGUGGAGACACAUUUGAAUAAAAAAUUGGCCUCUUUUCAAAGUCAAAAUUCUGAGCCAGCUUGAAGGGAUUGUUUUUGGUCAAACCUGCAUCAAUUUGGGCAUCAAAAUAAAUAAUGCUACCAAUUUAUUGCACCCUAUUGAAUAGAAUAGCAAGUCAUGAGUCUAUGUUCAUAUAAAUAAGUAAAACUGAGGAGAAGGGAAAGCUCUCUUUUAUAGUAGAAAUCCAUCUAAUAGGUGUAGAAGAAAAUGAUAAA